rnacentral:lncRNA from 1 species
UCAAAACUUGUUACAUUCACGAUUUGAUUUUUGAGUUCUGUAAGGGCGAGGCGAAAGAAAAGAAUUUCCUUCAGGUCCUGCGAGGAUAUGAUGAGCUUUCUACCUUUAAUGAGGAGAACCCACCUCGGUUGUCCAUUUGGUGCAGUGGAGAAGAUUUUAUGAAGUCAAGGCUAUUUUGUCCGCAUUUAGCCAGUCUGCUAUUCUUUGAUGCUACUCCAGGAUAUAAGAAGUUUGAGUUGCUUAAUAUCUCCUUCCUUUUUUGCAUCUACAAACAUCUUAACGUUCUGAAUUUAGAGGGCAUUGACCUAAUGUUGAAGGAGCUUCCAGCUGAAGUCGAAUCACUUAUUUGUUUGAGGUACUUAGCCCUUAGUGCUUGGAAAAUGCGAUUCAUUCCACCAUCUAUAGCCAAGCUCUCACAUUUGGAAACCUUCUGUCUAAAUUCUCACCAGAUGGUUUCAUUGCCAGAUAGCAUCUGGAACAUGAAGAAGUUGAGGCAUGUAGAUGCAUGGAGUGGGAUUGUUAUUUGUCUAUCUUCCAACGACAACGGUGUUGAAAACCUGUCCACUUUACCCAAUUUGGACACACUCUCUUGUUUGUAUCUUUGUGAAACGGGAGAGAGCCUUUAUGAAGAGGGAGAGAACAUAUUGAGAAGCAUUCCCAACGUUCGCCGACUUAAAAUUUCCGAUCGUCAGACUGGAAAUGGAGUGUUGAACAUGAGUCGACUAGAAUGCCUAGAAUCACUCACCUGGUUGGGCUAUUACUGCUCAAGUUCAUGGGAACAUGUUGAGCCUCCCUUUCCCAUGAAUUUGAAGAAGUUGAGUCUUCGCAAUCUGGGUCUUCCCUGUAGUAAAAUGUCAUUGAUUGAAGAACUACCCAAUCUUGAAGUCCUCAAAUUAAGAGACCGGGCAAUGGAGGGCCAAAGAUGGGAGCUGAUGGAAGGAGGAUUCCCUAAACUCAGGGUCUUGACGUUGGAAGAAGUAGAGGUUGUGGAGUGGAUUGACAGUGGUGAUGAUUACUUCCCGUGUCUUCAGCAAUUAAAACUCUUCGGAAUUUUUAAUUUGAAAAUGAUGCCUGCUUGUUUAGGGAGUAUAUCUACUCUUGAAACGAUUGAGAUGAAGGAUUGCAAAGAUGGCGUCAAAUCUUUAGUAAGGAAAAUUGAAGAAGAACAGAAAGAUUAUGGAAAUGAGAAUCUGAAGAUCAUUUAUGGAAAAUAUUGAAGGGUGGCUACAUCUUUUCCUAUCAAUUCCCCUUCUUUGGGUGGCUUAAUUGGAUUUCAUUAGUUGGCUAAAUUUUGGUUGUAAAAAAUUCUCAACUGCUAACCGCUUUAAUGUUCUUUGGUUUCCUCUUUUUCCCGUUGUCUGUUGGGUUCUAUGGUAUGAUAGGAAUAAAUUUUUGUUUGAUUGUAAGUAAUAAAGAUUUGCAAGUUUAUGUAACACAGAGAAACCCAAAAAAUCGUAAAUAUUGAUUCGAUCUGAACCGCAAAUUUAGGAUAUUCGAAUCGGUUUUAAUAUGCGUAGUUUGGGUAGCAGCAAAUCAGAUUAACAAAGAAGGACGUCCCGUCGCAAUUCAAAAACUUUGAAAAUCGCAGAUACCUGACCCAAUUCAUAUGUAAGGAUAAUUUUGUCCAUUAAAACUAAAAGUAAUAGAGGAAUAUAUAAUCAUCUUUCACCAAAUAUUUAUAUUUGAGAUGAUAUACUUGACUAUCUCAACAAUAUAAGUCUUAACUUGUUUAACUUGCUAAUUAUAUAGUAAUAUAUUUAGCUUUUGUUGCUGAGAAUAAGUGAUAUUUACAAACUUGUUUUUACUAUGAAUAUGCAAGUAUUGAUGGUUAUGUGAUAUUUCUUAACAAAUAAUGAAUUAUAUUUAAAUAAAGUCUUUUAGGUGUUUACUUAUUUUCUUAUUCUCAAUUAUGAAAAUAUGAUUUCUUUUUUAACUUUGGUACCGAGUCUAGUCAUUCGAGUACUCUAUGACCGUGGACACAGUUAUUAUUUAAUUUUUUGUCGAACCAAUAGAACUGGUUUGAGUUACGAAGAAGCGCAGAGCUUCCCCGUGGAGGCCAAUUGUGUAUUUUGUCCGCCCAAGUGGUACCAGGACUUCAACCCCAAGACCCUUAUACACAAGGACUAGGGUUCGAAUCCUGGGGAGGCCCCCCUCCAAGCACCCGAUGCUGGGGCGGACAAAAUACACAAUUGACCUCCACGGGGAAGCUCUGCGCUUCUUCAAGUUACAAAUCUGAAAGGACACCCAACCCGUGAAAUAUAAUCACGGACUGAUGCUGACUCCUCUUUACUCUUUGCUCAUGGCUUAAGGCCCUUGUUAGUAGUUAUAUAAACUCAAAUCAAAGAUUCCAUCAAACUAAAAUCUCUAUUGAAGUCAUUUUACUAUUUUCUUUUGAAAAUAAAAACUAGCUAUUGACUUUUGGAUUAUAAGAUUGAUUUUUGGAGCAUGCAUAUUGAACAACAAUGCUUGAAUUUUCAACAAAAAAGAAAAAAAAACAACGAAAUAAAGCUAACGUAGAUGACUAAUUAUAAAUUAUCAUUCUCUUUUUCCCUUUCACUUGAAAAUGAAAGAAACUAUUUUUGUGAUAACAAAAAUUUCUGUUCGACUUUAAUUUUUUCCUUCCUUUUUUUUUGGCCCCUUAUAUGGUCUUUUUCUCUUGAAAAUUCCAAGAAAGUCUUACCUUAUGGAAAGCGAAAAUCUUUUAAUUUUUUUUUUUUAAAAAAAGGGGUCUAGGUGUAGGGUCCCUUUCUUAGUGGACAAUGCCGAAACUGGUGCUUUUUACCUACGAAAUGAGAGUGAAAUAAUUCAUUCAAAAACCAUAAAGUAAUGAGUUAAAAAAUUCUUUGCUUUUUCUCGUGAUUCCAGCACUGCCACCACUAUGAUUGUUUGUUGAAUAAUUGAAUAUUCCACAAGAAAAAUACUGGCUAGGCGAGAUUUGUUAAUAUUUCUCCUUAUGCUACACUAAAAAUUUGAGAGUGAAAUUGAGGAAGUGCCUUGCAUUAUAAGAGCUGGAGAUGACCUCCACUUGCAUAGAACCGAUCUAAUUGAGCUCAUCUAUAAGUGGAUAUUAAUUAUAAUAUUUUCCUUGAAGCAAUUUAAAAUAGAUGAUCAGUCUUAACGUUAAAAAGUAUGUCUACAUAUCAUAAGGUUUAGGAGUAUUUUUUUUAAUCAAACUACUUGAUUUGAUACUUUGAUUAAACAACUUGAGCUCAGUCAGCCAAUAUUGAGACAGGAAAUGGGGCAGGGACGGUCAUCAAUAUGAACAUCCCUGAGCAGUUAAGGGCCAUGAUUUGGCCAAAAAAUUUUGUGCGGUCCAGAUAACAAGUUGUGCAUCGAUUUUCACACCAUGUGUGGAAUCCGCAAAAUUUUGUACUAAAGUUACACGCUGUACAAACAAAGUUAUGCGCUGUUGAAAAUAGCCAAAACCGUUGGGGACGGUUGCAACCGUCUGUGCCCCUUGUCUAUUGAGACAGUUUCGCUGCUAAAAUGCUGGUUUCCGAGAGAUUCGUUUGCAGUCUUACCUAAAAGAUAAAUACAACAGUAUAAAUACCUUAUUAAUUCAUUAGUUGUGUAUAAUAUUAUUAAAUUUAACCACAAGAGAAUAUGAAAAUGUUCUUGCGACAUAUAUCAAUUAGCCCAAAAUUGUUCAGGUCCCCGAAAAUCUGAAUAUAGUUGCUCACGCAUAUUAAAAAUGGAGCAGGUUAGAAUCACAAGGCUACAGAUCGGCUACACAUUGUGGAUGAAAUCUUCUCCCAUCUAAAACAUUGCCCCUUAAAAGGCUAGAGCUUGAAUUAAGGAACGGGAAAAGGGACCGUCCAGUGGCCAUUCUUUACCAGAACACUAUCCGGUCUCCGUCAAUCUAUCGAAUUCUGCACAUGAAUGUGGAAGAAAGACUAAUGUUAAGAGUUGAAUUGAUUUUCAAUAGCUGUAACAGUGUAUUAUUGUAUUAGCAUGCAUUUCGGUUCUGACACUAAGUGCGUUUGAUAAAAUUGAAAUAUAAAAUCUAAAUUUAUUAAAUUAUUAAGUAUUAAAUUUGAUAUAUUUGAAUGUAUAUCAUAUUAAGUAAUAAAUAAAUAAUUUAUUACUUAUUUUUUAUAAUAUAUUUGCCAAUAAAAUUUAGUACUAUUUAAUUAAUUCAGAUGUUUAAUUUUUGAUUAUCAAAUAUGUUUGAAUAUGUUAAAAUCUGAAUCUAUUAAAUUUAAGUAUUAAAUUGAAUUAUUAAACAGGACCAAAAUCUCAAUCAACUCGUGGAAGUUUUCAACGUAAAUAAUAAGAAUUGAUAUCAAACAUUUAAAAAUAUGGGUAUGCCUUAGCCAUGAACCCCUGUGUUAAAAAGCAAGGAAAGGGAGGGUUCUCUAGCCGUGCUUGACCCGAAGAACAGCCAGUCCCCUUCUCUCAUUUUCCAAUGGACACCCUCAAUGUUGAAGAAAGAGUAAUGAGAAGACUUUCAAUUAAUUUCCAAUGACUCAAGUAACACUAAAAUGGGCAAAUACUUGUGUCUGGAUAGGAGAUUAUUUCGGAUGAUUUUUUUUUAAUAUUGUAUCAGUUUUUUAUAUAAUAUAUAUGAGAUAAAAAGAUAAUUAAAAAAUAUAUUUAUGAUACAAGUAAAUAAAUUAGUAUAAAUAAUUAGCGCGCAAUUAAGUCCUGACUCUUGAAAAGAAGUACUGCUGCUAAUUAGUAGAGUUCUUUACUUCUUUAAGCCAAUCAUUUUCUUUGACCAUUGUAUAUUGGUAACAUUAAUGCACUCAUUAAUUUUGAACGUUAUCAUUUUACUCUUUAUAGUUAUUAUCUUAGUGUUUAUAUUUAUUAUGAUUAGGACUGUCAAUGGGGUCAGGCCACCUGACCUCGGCUGGUUCGGCCCAAAAAAAAUCCGAUGAACUCGACCUUUCACUGAGCCGAUUUGAGUUUGACCCUAAAAAUUGCACUCGAAUUAAAUAUGAGCCGAGUUUAGACCUCAUUAGGCUCAAAUCCAAUAUAGGUCCAACCCUUAAAUUAGCUAUAUAUAUAAUAUAAUUAUAUAUCCAAAAAUAUUAUUACUAAAUAUUAAAUAUAUACAAAUUACAAAACACAAAAAUACAUUUGAAGACUUCUCUACUAACUUUCUUGAGAGCCGAUAUUGAUAUUGCGUGACUAAAAGUCUAACUUUUCUUAUUGGUUGAAUAAAUUUUUUGGUUGAUUUAUUUUUGGUCUAGUAACAUAAAUCAUCAAGCAUGUUUGGAUUUAAGUUACAAAGGUACGAAGAAGUUCCAACUUUUGAAAAUGUAUUAGCUUAUGACCGCAUAAUUUAUUACUAUUUUUCAUAUACUUUGAACGAAUUAGAUAUAAAUAUUGUUCAAAAAUUCUUGAUUUAUGUACUUUUUAAGAACUAUUACUUGUUUAUGUUUAGUUUUAAUGUUAUAGUCCUGUGAAUAUUAAAUUAGUUUUACAACUCAAUAGUUUUGGUAAUCUAUAUCUAUAUAAUCUAUAUUUAUUCCAAAUAAUAUUUCAAAUAAUACUCUAUUCAUAUUUCAAACAUGGAUGAAUUAAAAUACUCAACCCUUACUCCACAUCUGCUAUCAAAACAAGGCUUCUUAAUUACGAAGUUUAACAAAUUAAACUGUGGAUAGUCGAUUUUUUCCUACUCACUGAUUGCCUCGUGACAAGAAGUGGAAUUAUUGCAAAAACAGGGGCUUACAAUAAUUGGAGAAGGGGCAGGAACGGUUACCGUUAUCCUAGGUUCAUGGUUAAGAUUUGAUAAAAAAAAAAAUAUAUGAUUCAAAUUGUAUCUUAUAUAUUAUUUUUCACACCAUAUGUAAGACUUAUAAAAUUUUAUCUUGUAAUGAUAUGUUAUUGAAAAUAAGUUACACCGUGUUCAUAUAUAGUCACACGUUAUGCAUUUUACACAAAACCUUCACGCCCUGCCCUCUGUCCGCAAUAAUUCUGGUCUGUGGAGCCGGGACCCCAUUGCGUGGAAAUGGAAUACAAUAAUUCCCAAUAAUUCUAUGAAACCGGCCCACCACUCAUCAAAGGUUCAGAUGCACUGAGCCCACCACUCGCAUAUGUCUGCUAAUACAACUUAUAUAUUCCACUUUAUAUUCCUCUCUAUUAUACGUUUAUAAUAGAGAGGGACUGAUCCGUCUGGACCAUUCUUGGUAGGGAUUAAUCCUACCUUUAAUUUAGUUAUUCUACAUGCUUUGGACCGUAAAAUCAUCGAAGUGUCUCAAAUCCCCUAAGCUACAGUUAUUGUGAAUGAAAGUCGACUAAAACAAAGGCUUUUCCUCGUACGAACGAAUAAUUUAUCUUCUGUUAAUGAGAAGCUAGCAUACAGCUCCUGUGUGUUUAGUUUAAUUUAUAAGUGUGUGUGUAUUAAUUUCCGAUUGUGGAAAAAGAGAAGCUAGCAUACAGCUCCAUGUUAUUCCUAAACUUGCACGAAUAGUGUGUGAAACCAUACUACUAUUUUGAAAGAAUUAGAGUGCAAAACGGUAGAAUUAACUACUUUGUUUUGGCAGUUCAAGCUUUCAAGGCCUGGCUCAGUUGUACUUAUUUAUAUUCAACUGAAAGAAUCCAUUAAACUAAAACCUCUAAUGUCAUUUUACUUUUUCCAAAGCAACAAAAAUGAAAAUUGUUAUUUCAUAGAAUUUAUGUAUGUAAUAAUAGGAUGUGGCUAUAUGGAGUAAAAAUGCUUAAAUUUUUCAAAGAAACAAUCAAUUUAUAAAGAUUAGGGUAAAACAAGUCUGAAUUGAGCAAUUGGUUAAAUUUUUACGCUUUUUCAGUGUGGGUGCAGGGACCUUUGCUAAUGGAAAAUACCAGAGUGGUCCUUCUCAACUCCAAUAUGAGUAUGAAAUAGUCCAAAAAUAAUAAACUUGUCAAUGAAAACAUCUUUAAUCUACUAAACACAAGAUGACUUUAUGAUAAUUCCAACAUUUUCUCUUUUGCCUUGCUGAUCUUUUGUUUCUUACUCUGUUUGUUUGUUAAACAAUUGAGUAUCUAAUUUCUUUUCUUCACUACCCUACAAAAAAAUAAUAAUAUAAAAUAAAAUGAAAGAAGAGUAAAUUUGAUGGAAGAAAGACUUGUUGGCCCUGGGGUGAGAUUUGUUUCUCCUUUACCUGUACUAAUAUUUGAGAGUGACAUUGAGGAAAAUCCCUGCAUAAGAGUAGACAAGUAUUUGAGGCUGAGAUCCUUCGAAUUUUUUUCAGAGUACAAAAUUAAUGUGUUUGUAAUACAACAUUGGUUAUCGAAAUGACCCCAAUAGAAAAUGUUUCAAGAAUGCAUUUUUUCUGUGAAAAGAAGUACUACUACUGAUUAGUAGAAAUUUUCACUUCUUUAAUCCAAUCAUCUUCUUUGACCGUUGUACGUAACAUUAAUGCACUCCGGUAACAUUAUUAAUUUUGCAAGUUAUCAUUUUACUGUUUAUAUUUAUUAUUUUAGAGUUUUACAUUUAUUAUUUUAAUGCAUAUCCUUAUACUAUAUAAGAAUGACUGUAGGGCAAAGAUUUCAACCGCAAGGAUAGGGCUAUUUUGGGAAUAUGAGAGUAUUUGAAGUGUAAUUUGAGUAUUGAAUAUGAAUCAUUAUAACUGAUUUGGUUUUUUUUAUAAUUACUUAAAUGUUCUUUCAGACAUUUAAAGCUAUGGAUAAGUUUAACAUGUGACAAUAUUCGAUAUCCAAUUAAAUAUUCUGUACAAUUGAAUUCAGCUUGUGUUUUAGUGGAAUUAUAUAAAAAUCCUUUUAAUCAUUUAAUUGUAUUAACAUCUAAGUCUCUUAAUUUCUUAAAGCCUUUCUCAACAGUUAUUUGCAAACUUAUGAUAUAUAGAUGUUAAGGCACAAUUAAUGCUGAUUAGUAGAGAAGUUUGGUUUCUUGGCCGUUACCAUAGUAACCCCUAUCUAUUCAAAUUAAUUUCAUUUACCUAUAACUUUGUUCCACUACAAUCAUGUAGUAUAUUAAAUUCAGAUGUUGCUAUAUUAGCUACUACUCUUUCCCAUUUUGCAACAUCUUUCUCAAUAGGUUUGUUUUCUUUAGCUAAUCUACUUUUUUGGUUGUAAGAAAUUUGUAAUCUUGCAAGUUGUAUGUGCAAUACUUUUUUUAGUGUUUUAAUUCAAUUGCCCAUGUUAGAUAGACUUGAUAGGGAGGAGAUCACAUUUGUUAAUUGUUAUUUGUGGUUUAGAAUAAGUUUGUCAUCAUAAAUUUUUUCAUUAAUAGAUUGCAUCUACUUCUUUUGUUGUUUUAACUAUUAGUUACGGUAAUUUUCAAAUCAUUUGCUACUUUUUUGAUGAUUCCAUUUAGGCAAUUUUUCACUUCAUUUGAUUUGCCAAUAUGUUUAACUAUCUACUUAAAACUAUUUGGCUGCAAAUCUAAAGUAUGUACUUCAUUACUUUUAAUUGUUUUCUUAAAUUGAGUGGAUUAAGAUGUUUUAGUACUUUUUUUGAGGUAAUUAUUCAUCUAGAUUAGCGUGUUAGUUAUUGUAUAUCUUUGCAACUAGAUAAAAAACUGAUGUUUUGUGAUUGUAACCCCUAUCGAGAAGGAGGUGCUUUGCUAUAUGUCCUAAAUUAUAUAAUAAAUCAUAAUUGAUUGAUUUGUCAAUGUGAAACUUUCAUGAUGAUAUGUUCUUGGAAUCAAUAUAAAUCAAAGAAUUUGGCUUGUAAGAACCGAAAUUUCACUAGCAAUGAUUUCUUCAAGUAUGCUAAUUUUUCAAAUCUCACUUAUAUGAUAAGAUAAUGAGAUAGAUUGCCCUCAUAUCAAGAUCAAAUUCAAACUAAACGACAAAAUUUAACAUUCCCAAAAUGCAUGAGCAGAUAUAAGUAGAUCUUUUAUUCUAUUAGAUUAGACACAAAGUAAUUAAUCAUAUUUUAUAAUUAUAUUUUAUUGCAUAUUAUAUAUUUUGACUCAAUAUGUAAUUUAUGAUUUUUCUGUUUAAUAUCACAUAAUAAAAUUGUCAUACUUCAAUUCUUAUACUACAAAAUACUAAAUAAUAAUUAUUAACUAUCUUUACUUAUAGGUACUAAACUCCCGUGCAUGGCGCCGGCUUUUUCCACUAGUAUUUUAUGAUAUAAUUGACACUAGUAAUUGCAGACAUCCCCAAUUCUUUGCUUCCACAAUACCAAGGGUUGAAGAAGCCCUCAAUUUUUUUUUUCUCAUACUUUUUACUUUGUUGGCCAUGGUUAUUAAUCUCCAAGAUCAAUGGUCAUGAUUAUUAAAACGAGAUAAUUAGAAGAGAAAGUGAUCAAAUUUAGUGGUUUGCUGAAGAAAGAAAACAAUGGAAGAAAAUUAGAGAGCUAGCUUGAAGGUUCAUUAUAUUUUGAUCAUUUAUAUUGUGACGUGUCUUGGAUCAUUUAUAUUUUGAUGUCUCUUUGUUUUCUGUUCUUCCUAAUUAUAAAGUUUAACAUAUUAAACUGUGGAUGCUUGAAGCAAAAAAAAAAAACAUAUUAAAACAGGGACGCGCUAUAAGAGAAGGGGCGCCAUUGUGUGGGAAUGGAAUACAAUCAUUCCCAAUAAUUCUUUGAAAUCGGACCCACUACUUUAUUGAGGCAAUAAUUAGAUGUAUAAUAGAGAGGGGGCUGCUCCGUCUGGACCACUCUUGCUUUGGACAAUAAAAUCAUCAAAGAGUCUUAAAUCACUGCUGUUAUUGUCUUAAAACAUAGGCUUUUAUGUGAUCCCUAAUAUCAAAUUUCCCUAAUAAAAUGUUGAUGACAGAGUAAACUAAUCUUGUUUAUCAAUUUCCUCCAUUUGUAAUUAGUUCAAGAUAAAUUUGGAUUUUGGGUGCCUAGCUCCAAUUCCACCUAGUUGAAUAAUUGAUUAUCAUUGCCUGGGGUCCACCUUGAUGCCAAUUCCACCUAGUUGAAUGGUUGGUUGUCUCAAUACUCUUCUUCACCUUCUCACCAGAAACAAAUAAGCAAUUUUCAGGAAAGAAAUACUUUGCUAGCUCUGCAGUUAGUGAGAUUUGUUUCUCUCUUAGAAUUUGAGAGUGAAACUGACGAAAAUCCCUCCAAAAGAGAUGGAGAUGGCCUCCACUUGCAGCAUCGAUCGUGUCUUACUUGAUCUAGAGUCGCUCCGGAACAGCUCCGGAAUAUCCCUUUAUCUUCUUUACGAUGUUCGUGAAGCAAUCAAACACAUGAAAUUUCUCCAAACAUUUCUUAUGUGUGCUAGAAAGUGGAGCCAAAGCAAUGAUUUGUACUUGCAAUCUGACAAUGUUGUGAAGAGGGUAAGUCUUCCAUCUUUCCUAUCUUGUAUCGAAGAUACCUUUCACAAAUAUGAGGAGGAUAUUCACUCUCUUUCCCGUGAUAAGAUAUAUGUAGUGUUCCGCGAAAUUAGGAAACAGAUCAUAUUAUUCAAGCAAGAAAUCAUCCAAAUUUACUUUGCUUUGGCAACUUUGGCAAGCAACAGGUCAUUUCAAUCAAAUUCUUGUAUGACAGAUGAUGAACUGUUGGAAUUCAUAGACCUCAUCCUGCAAAAUCUAGCAGAUUUGACAAAUGACGAUUUGAAUUGGAAAAUUACUAAAUCGUCCAUUUAUGCUGCUUUGAGUGCUCAAGUCCAAGAUCUUGAAGCAAAGCUGACAUUCUUGAAAAGCUCCAUUCCCUUUGCCAAAAUGCGAGGAACCGCAGAUAUUCCUGCCUUGCUAUUGGCUCACUUUGAAGUGGUGGCUUUGACCGCAGCACGCCUCUCUUACAUGUGUUCUUUUUGGGAUGAUGAUGACGAAAAUAAAAAUCCUGGGUUCUACUCCAGAAGAACUUGCAGCUUCAAACUCCUCAGCAUGAGAGCGGUUGAUUUUCAUGUCUACGAGAUUUAUAAGGAAGUACUUGCAGCUUCAAACUCCUCAGCAUCAUUACAUACAGCAGUGAUGGAUGAGCGGAUAUUGAACAACUUCAACGAUUCUCUGAUAGGACGUCUCUGGGAGUUGUUAUGCUGCAGCUCUAGCUUUGUGGAUUCUAUGAAAGAUGAAAUGCAAACACUCUAUGCAGAACUGAGGUUUUUGAGAAGCAUUUUAAGGGAGCAUCAUGCGAUGAUGGAUGAACAAAAUGAAAAAAUUGGAGCUCUCCUUGGUGAGGCAGGCAUUAUAAUAUUCUCGCCCACUCUGAGCAGAGUGAUAGAAGGAGAAGUUAGCUUCUCAGGAUCCACCCAGGUUCUUGAUUUUUGUGAUCUGCUGGCCAAUAUCAAGCAUUUUAAGGAUCAGAUCAGUGGCUCAAGUACUAUAGAGAGUCUUCCUAAUUCCUCUCAUAGCUUAAGAGCACCAGAAGUUAGCCAGACUUCCAGCCGCAUGCUAUCAAAAGGUAAAAUGCCAAUGGACCAUGAAGUCAUGGUUGGUCUUGAUGAUAAGGGAGAACAAGGAAUUGAACCACUUAUCAAGCAUUUUGAGGAUCAGCUCAGUGUCUCAAGUACUAUACAGAGUCUUCCUAAUUCCUCUCAUAGCUUAAGAGCACCAGAAGUUAGCCAGACUUCCAGCCGCAUGCUAUCAAAAGGUAAAAUGCCAAUAGCUCGUGAAAUCAUGGUUGGUCUUGAUGAUGAGGCAGCAAAAGUAAUUGAACGACUUAUAUGGGGAUAUAUGGGGAUCAGAACAGGUGGAAAUUGUUCCCAUUGUGGGAAUGGCUGGGCUUGGUAAGACAACUUUAGCCAAAAAAGUUUACAAUAAUAUUUCAGUAACCUGUCACUUCCACAUUCGUCUUUGGUGCACUGUUUCUCAAGAAUUUAACAUGAAAAGCUUGUUAAUACAAAUUUUGUGCUCUAAUGGAAAACAGUCGAGGAUGGAUGAAGAGCUUAAAAAAUUGAAUGAACAUGCGUUGCUUGAAAAGCUCCGUCAAAGGCUAUUGAAGAAUCGGUAUCUUCUUGUUUUUGAUGAUGUCUGGGACAUUGAGGUAUGGAAUGAGCUGAGAACUGCAUUCCCCAAUGACAAGAAUGGAAGUAGAAUCAUCUUUACGAGUCGAUUUUCUAAUGUAGCUUCAGAUUCAAAGGUUCAAUAUGGUGGAGAACCUCACUAUCUUCACCCACUCAGUGAGAAAGAAAGUUUCGAAUUGCUGCAGAAGAAGGUGUUUGGAGAAGAAGAAGAAUGUCCUCAAGCAUUGCAUGAAUUGGGAAUGGAGAUUGCCAAAAAGUGCAGGGGAUUGCCACUUGCACUUGUUGUUGUAGCUGGAGUCCUGGCAACUAUAGAGCAUGAUAUUUGUGUUUGGGAAGAAUUUGCUGAAAGUUUUACUUUGACCAUGGUGUCUGGUGCAGACCAGUGCAAGAAGUCCUUGGAGCUCAGUUUUGAGCAUUUACCAUACCACUUGAAGGAAUGCUUGCUGUAUUUUGCUGCAUUUCGAGAAGAUGAAAAAAUUGGUGCCAAGAAGUUGAUGUGUCUAUGGAUUGCAGAAGGAUUUGUGGAAAUAAUUGAAGGAGAGAAAUCAGAGGAUGUUGCAGAAAAAUAUCUGAUGGACCUAAUUGGCCGAAACCUAGUUAUGGUAGGUAAGAACAGAUCCAUUGGUGGAGUGAAAACUUGUUACAUUCACGAUUUGAUAUUUGAGUUCUGCAAGGGCAAGGCGAAAGAAAAGAAAUUCCUUCAGGUCCUGCGAGGAUAUGAUGAGCUUUCUACCUUUAAUGAGCCUCCCAACCUACCUCGGUUGUCCAUUUGCUCCAGUGGCAAAGAUUUUAUGAAGUCAAAGCUAUUUUGUCCAUGUUUAAGUACUCUGCUAUUCUUUGAUGCUACUCCAGGAUAU